AGAGGAACCACUUGAGGAUCUUGCUAAAAUGCAGAUUCUGACGGAGUCAGUCCAGGUGGAGCCGGAGAGUCUGCAUUCCUAGCAAGCUCCUGGGUGAUUUCAGU
rnacentral:pre_miRNA from 1 species